rnacentral:rRNA from 1 species
GACGAACGCUGGCGGCGUGCCUAAUACAUGCAAGUAGAACGCACAGUUUAUACCGUAGCUUGCUACACCAUAGACUGUGAGUUGCGAACGGGUGAGUAACGCGUAGGUAACCUGCCUGGUAGCGGGGGAUAACUAUUGGAAACGAUAGCUAAUACCGCAUAAUAUUAAUUAUUGCAUGAUAAUUAAUUGAAAGGUGCAAUUGCACCACUACCAGAUGGACCUGCGUUGUAUUAGCUAGUAGGUGAGGUAACGGCUCACCUAGGCGACGAUACAUAGCCGACCUGGAGAGGUGGUCGGCCAAACUGGGACUGAGACACGGCCCAGACUCCUACGGGAGGCAGCAGUAGGGAAUCUUCGGCAAUGGACGAAAGUCUGACCGAGCAACGCCGCGUGAGUGAAGAAGGUUUUCGGAUCGUAAAGCUCUGUUGUAAGAGAAGAACGGGUGUGAGAGUGGAAAGUUCACACUGUGACGGUAUCUUACCAGAAAGGGACGGCUAACUACGUG